rnacentral:rRNA from 1 species
AGCAGUCGCCGCGGUAAUACGAAGGGUGCAAGCAUUACUCGGAAAUACUGGGCGUAAAGCGUGCGCAGGCGGUUUGUUAAGACAGAUGUGAAAUCCCCGGGCUCAACCUGGGAACUGCAUUUGUGACUGGCAAGCUAGAGUGUGGCAGAGGGGGGUGGAAUUUCGCGUGUAGCAGUGAAAUGCGUAGAUAUGCGGAGGAACACCGAUGGCGAAGGCAGCCCCCUGGGCCAACACUGACGCUCAUGCACGAAAGCGUGGGGAGCAAACAGGAUUAGAUACCCCCGUAGUCCCUGUCUCUUAUAC